rnacentral:lncRNA from 1 species
GCUCUGACUCAUACGCUCACUUCCCUCAUCUCAACUGCAGGGAUAAACUCACAUCAGCAUCAUGAGGCCAUUGUGACGAUCCAGCAGGAAAUACACAUGAUUCCUUUGGUUUUUCUACAACAUCUUCAGCACCUGGAACAGUGCCUGGCAUAGAGAGGAUAUUCAAUAAAUAUUUACUCAAUGAAUAAAUACAGCCAUCCAGAAAGGAAGCUGUCAAACUAAAUACACAUGCAUAUUUCUGAGCUUUUCACUGACCUCUGUUUCUUUGAUCAUUGGUCACCAUUCACCAGGGAAGGAUAGCAAGUGUAAAGCGUUUAAGAAAAGUGCAAGGACAGUCUCUCAUUUUCAACCUGACCUGCCCAUUAAUGUUCUGUGUGUUGGGAAAGGACAGUCUGGCUGGUGGAGGGGUGAGUUGGAGCCUCCUGGGGGCACCGAUCAGAGAGCUACAGGAAGCUUCUGAGCACUGGUCCAGUUUUUGGGCCUGAGGCCCUGGAGCAGAGGGGAGAGCUCUUCUCCAGUGGGGCAGGGGGGGCUGGAGACCAGGGACCGCAGCUGUGGAAGGCAACAGAGAGGAGCUUAUGGGAGCCUCCUGGGGCAACUUGGUCUGAGGUUAGAGGCCACAGCACACCCACAUUCCUGGUGCUUGUCAGAUGCAAAUGAUGAGAAUAAUAGGGCCUCUGUCCCUAGGCCAUUUGUGGUAGAGCCUGGGCUCCCGGGAAUCAUAGCUCCUUCAGGCCAGCCAUGGACCAGUUCAGGGGAAGCAAGCUCCGGUUGGGGCCACCCCUUCCACCCCCUAGAAGUGUAGUCCCCUGUCCAGAUUCCCAAGCCUGGAACGAAGAUGCCCCCGGCCCAUCUCCUCGGCCCGCCCCAGGAACCUGGAGAUUCGAGGAGGAGGAGGAGGAGGAAGAUGAAUACGAGCUGCCCCCCUGUGAGGCUCUGCCCUUCAGUCUUGCCCCAGCCCACGUUCCUGACCCCGAGAAGGACUCUCCGUACUUGGGUAAGGCCUGGGGAGUUGAGGCAGGGAGUUGGGUGGUCAGGCAGGACAGAGGGUCCCCACGAGGAAAGACGGCCAGGCCUUGCCUCUUCUCCCUUUGUCUGUGCUGGGGCGGCAAGGGGAGGCCUCAGCUGGCAGUUGCGGAAGCUUCUGGGCUGGGCAGAGAGAGAAGGAUGAAGGAAAGGCGGAGGGAGGAGGGAGAAAGGCAGGAGGAAGAGUGGGAAGGGGAGAAGAGCCUGGAGGGGCACUGUAACCAAGGCAACAGUGGGAAAGCAGGAGGCCCGACAGGGUCCCUGGGGCCUCCUCUGAGAUCCCUCACUUCUCAGAGCAAGGGUGGGGAUGCCAGGAGAGCCCGGGCUGCUGCUGGCAUCCCACCCCCAGGGCUCCUCCGCUAG